GUAUCCAACCUGCCCACCACUUGGGGAUAACCUUGCGAAAGUAAGACCAAUACCCAAUGAUAUCUCUAGAAGACAUCUGAAAGGGAUUAAAGAUUUAUCGGUGAUGGAUGGGGAUGCGUCUGAUUAGCUUGUUGGCGGGGUAACGGCCCACCAAGGCGACGAUCAGUAGGGGUUCUGAGAGGAAGGUCCCCCACAUUGGAACUGAGACACGGUCCAAACUCCUACGGGAGGCAGCAGUGAGGAAUAUUGGUCAAUGGGCGAGAGCCUGAACCAGCCAAGUAGCGUGCAGGAUGACGGCCCUAUGGGUUGUAAACUGCUUUUAUAAGGGAAUAAAGUGAGCCUCGUGAGGCUUUUUGCAUGUACCUUAUGAAUAAGGACCGGCUAAUUCCGUGCCAGCAGCCGCGGUAAUACGGAAGGUCCGGGCGUUAUCCGGAUUUAUUGGGUUUAAAGGGAGCGUAGGCCGGAGAUUAAGCGUGUUGUGAAAUGUAGACGCUCAACGUCUGCACUGCAGCGCGAACUGGUUUCCUUGAGUACGCACAAAGUGGGCGGAAUUCGUGGUGUAGCGGUGAAAUGCUUAGAUAUCACGAAGAACUCCGAUUGCGAAGGCAGCUCACUGGAGCGCAACUGACGCUGAAGCUCGAAAGUGCGGGUAUCGAACAGGAUUAGAUACCCUGGUAGUCCGCACGGUAAACGAUGGAUGCCCGCUGUUGGUCUGAAUAGGUCAGCGGCCAAGCGAAAGCAUUAAGCAUCC
rnacentral:rRNA from 1 species